rnacentral:rRNA from 1 species
GGUUGAUCCUGCCAGUAGUCAUAUGCUUGUCUCAAAGAUUAAGCCAUGCAUGUCUAAGUAUAAACAAUUCUAUACUGUGAAACUGCGAAUGGCUCAUUAAAUCAGUUAUAGUUUAUUUGAUAGUACCUUACUACUUGGAUAACCGUGGUAAUUCUAGAGCUAAUACAUGCACAAGAACCCAACUUCCGGAAGGGUUGUAUUUAUUAGAUAAAAAACCAACCUGGGCAACCAGUUCAUUGGUGAUUCAUAGUAACUCGUCGAAUCGCAUGGCCUUGCGCCGGCGAUGUUUCAUU